UACGUAGGGUGCAAGCGUUGUCCGGAAUUAUUGGGCGUAAGGAGCUCGUAGGCGGUCUGUCGCGUCGGCUGUGAAAACUCGGGGCUCAACCCCGAGCCUGCAGUCGAUACGGGCAGACUAGAGUCCGGCAGGGGAGACUGGAAUUCCUGGUGUAGCGGUGAAAUGCGCAGAUAUCAGGAGGAACACCGGUGGCGAAGGCGGGUCUCUGGGCAACAACUGACGCUGAGGAGCGAAAGCGUGGGGAGCGAACAGG
rnacentral:rRNA from 1 species